AUAGUGACCAGUUUAUUAACAGUGAUGAUCAGGUGCUAAAUAGUGACCAGUUUAUUAACAGUGAUGAUCAGGUGCUAAAUAGUGACCAGUUUAUUAACAGUGAUGAUCAGGUGCUAAAUAGUGACCAGUUGAUCAGGGUCAGGUGCUAAAUAGUGACCAGUUUAUUAACAGUGAUGAUCAGGUGUUAAAUAGUGACCAGUUUAUUAACAGUGAUGAUCAGGUGCUAAAUAGUGACCAGUUUAUUAACAGUGAUGAUCAGGUGCUAAAUAGUGACCAGUUUAUUAACAGUGAUGAUCAGGUGCUAAAUAGUGACCAG